rnacentral:rRNA from 2 species
CCUACGGGCGGCUGCAGUGGGGAAUAUUGCGCAAUGGAGGGAACUCUGACGCAGCGACGUCGCGUGAGCGAAGAAGGUCUUCGGAUCGUAAAGCUCUGUCUUUGGGGAAGAAGGAAGUGACGGUACCCAAGGAGGAAGCCCCGGCUAACUACGUGCCAGCAGCCGCGGUAACACGUAGGGGGCAAGCGUUGUCCGGAAUCACUGGGCGUAAAGGGUGCGUAGGCGGUAUGCCAAGUCAGGUGUGAAACCCCAUGGCUCAACUGUGGGCUUGCACAUGAAACUGGUAUGCUUGAGUGCAGGAGAGGAAAGCGGAAUUCCUAGUGUAGCGGUGAAAUGCGUAGAUAUUAGGAGGAACACCAGUAGCGAAGGCGGCUUUCUGGACUGUAACUGACGCUGAGGCACGAAAGCGUGGGGAGCAAACAGGAUUAGAUACCCCAGUAGUC